rnacentral:lncRNA from 1 species
UGUGCUGUUUUGCCACAGAUCAGAUCACUGUAUCACCGGCUUGGCUUACUACCCCAAUAGCAUCUGGCUCACAACUGCCAUGGCCAGGGAAGACCCCAGAGUGUGAAUCACCUCCAACACCCCUACCUGCAAGCCCAGAAGUUCACCAAUGACCUGUGGGAGUCUGUGGAAGAAGUGUGGGAGAUGGAGAAGCAAUGGAUAGAACCACAGGGAGGAGGAGAGGUGCCUCUUGUCCUUUCUGGCCUCCACAGCCACUUGGAGGGACAGCAAUACCAGGACCUAUCUAGGACUCCACAUUGUGUGCAGUGGCGGGGACACCGCUGUCUCCUCCCAUCUGUGGCGGUCCGCUGUCUACCAGGAACACUG